UACGUAGGGGGCGAACGUUGUCCGGAUUCAUUGGGCGUAAAGGGUGCGUAGGCGGUUUGGUAAGUCUGAUGUGAAAUCUAUGGGCUCAACUCAUAGUCUGCAUCGGAAACUGCCGGGCUUGAGUGUGGGAGAGGUGAGUGGAAUUCCUGGUGUAGCGGUGAAAUGCGUAGAUAUCGUAAGGAAGACCAGUGGCGAAGGCGAGUCUCUGGACAGUUGCUGACACUGAGGCACGAAGGCUAGGGGAGCAAACGGG
rnacentral:rRNA from 1 species